rnacentral:rRNA from 1 species
CGGGACACGUGGUAUCCUGUCUGAAUAUGGGGGGACCAUCCUCCAAGGCUAAAUACUCCUGACUGACCGAUAGUGAACCAGUACCGUGAGGGAAAGGCGAAAAGAACCCCGGCGAGGGGAGUGAAAAAGAACCUGAAACCGUGUACGUACAAGCAGUGGGAGCACGCUUAGGCGUGUGACUGCGUACCUUUUGUAUAAUGGGUCAGCGACUUAUAUUCUGUAGCAAGGUUAACCGAAUAGGGGAGCCGAAGGGAAACCGAGUCUUAACUGGGCGUUAAGUUGCAGGGUAUAGACCCGAAACCCGGUGAUCUAGCCAUGGGCAGGUUGAAGGUUGGGUAACACUAACUGGAGGACCGAACCGACUAAUGUUGAAAAAUUAGCGGAUGACUUGUGGCUGGGGGUGAAAGGCCAAUCAAACCGGGAGAUAGCUGGUUCUCCCCGAAAGCUAUUUAGGUAGCGCCUCGUGAAUUCAUCUCCGGGGGUAGAGCACUGUUUCGGCAAGGGGGUCAUCCCGACUUACCAACCCGAUGCAAACUGCGAAUACCGGAGAAUGUUAUCACGGGAGACACACGGCGGGUGCUAACGUCCGUCGUGAAGAGGGAAACAACCCAGACCGCCAGCUAAGGUCCCAAAGUCAUGGUUAAGUGGGAAACGAUGUGGGAAGGCCCAGACAGCCAGGAUGUUGGCUUAGAAGCAGCCAUCAUUUAAAGAAAGCGUAAUAGCUCACUGGUCGAGUCGGCCUGCGCGGAAGAUGUAACGGGGCUAAACCAUGCACCGAAGCUGCGGCAGCGACGCUGAUGCGUUGUUGGGUAGGGGAGCGUUCUGUAAGCCUGUGAAGGUGUGCUGUGAGGCAUGCUGGAGGUAUCAGAAGUGCGAAUGCUGACAUAAGUAACGAUAAAGCGGGUGAAAAGCCCGCUCGCCGGAAGACCAAGGGUUCCUGUCCAACGUUAAUCGGGGCAGGGUGAGUCGACCCCUAAGGCGAGGCCGAAAGGCGUAGUCGAUGGGAAACAGGUUAAUAUUCCUGUACUUGGUGUUACUGCGAAGGGGGGACGGAGAAGGCUAUGUUGGCCGGGCGACGGUUGUCCCGGUUUAAGCGUGUAGGCUGGUUUUCCAGGCAAAUCCGGAAAAUCAAGGCUGAGGCGUGAUGACGAGGCACUACGGUGCUGAAGCAACAAAUGCCCUGCUUCCAGGAAAAGCCUCUAAGCAUCAGGUAACAUCAAAUCGUACCCCAAACCGACACAGGUGGUCAGGUAGAGAAUACCAAGGCGCUUGAGAGAACUCGGGUGAAGGAACUAGGCAAAAUGGUGCCGUAACUUCGGGAGAAGGCACGCUGAUAUGUAGGUGAAGCGACUUGCUCGUGGAGCUGAAAUCAGUCGAAGAUACCAGCUGGCUGCAACUGUUUAUUAAAAACACAGCACUGUGCAAACACGAAAGUGGACGUAUACGGUGUGACGCCUGCCCGGUGCCGGAAGGUUAAUUGAUGGGGUCAGCGCAAGCGAAGCUCUUGAUCGAAGCCCCGGUAAACGGCGGCCGUAACUAUAACGGUCCUAAGGUAGCGAAAUUCCUUGUCGGGUAAGUUCCGACCUGCACGAAUGGCGUAAUGAUGGCCAGGCUGUCUCCACCCGAGACUCAGUGAAAUUGAACUCGCUGUGAAGAUGCAGUGUACCCGCGGCAAGACGGAAAGACCCCGUGAACCUUUACUAUAGCUUGACACUGAACAUUGAGCCUUGAUGUGUAGGAUAGGUGGGAGGCUUUGAAGUGUGGACGCCAGUCUGCAUGGAGCCGACCUUGAAAUACCACCCUUUAAUGUUUGAUGUUCUAACGUUGACCCGUAAUCCGGGUUGCGGACAGUGUCUGGUGGGUAGUUUGACUGGGGCGGUCUCCUCCUAAAGAGUAACGGAGGAGCACGAAGGUUGGCUAAUCCUGGUCGGACAUCAGGAGGUUAGUGCAAUGGCAUAAGCCAGCUUGACUGCGAGCGUGACGGCGCGAGCAGGUGCGAAAGCAGGUCAUAGUGAUCCGGUGGUUCUGAAUGGAAGGGCCAUCGCUCAACGGAUAAAAGGUACUCCGGGGAUAACAGGCUGAUACCGCCCAAGAGUUCAUAUCGACGGCGGUGUUUGGCACCUCGAUGUCGGCUCAUCACAUCCUGGGGCUGAAGUAGGUCCCAAGGGUAUGGCUGUUCGCCAUUUAAAGUGGUACGCGAGCUGGGUUUAGAACGUCGUGAGACAGUUCGGUCCCUAUCUGCCGUGGGCGCUGGAGAACUGAGGGGGGCUGCUCCUAGUACGAGAGGACCGGAGUGGACG